CACGUAGGGUGCGAGCGUUGUCCGGAAUUAUUGGGCGUAAAGAGCUCGUAGGCGGUGUGUCGCGUCGGCCGUGAAAACCUGCAGCUUAACUGUGGGCUUGCGGUCGAUACGGGCAUCACUGGAGUUCGGCAGGGGAGACUGGAAUUCCUGGUGUAGCGGUGAAAUGCGCAGAUAUCAGGAGGAACACCGGUGGCGAAGGCGGGUCUCUGGGCCGAUACUGACGCUGAGGAGCGAAAGCGUGGGGAGCGAGCAGG
rnacentral:rRNA from 1 species